rnacentral:rRNA from 1 species
GACAGAGGGUGCAAGCGUUGUCCGGAAUUAUUGGGCGUAAAGAGCUUGUAGGCGGUUUGUCGCGUCUGCUGUGAAAUUUCGGGGCUCAACCCCGAACUUGCAGUGGGUACGGGCAGACUAGAGUGUGGUAGGGGAGACUGGAAUUCCUGGUGUAGCGGUGAAAUGCGCAGAUAUCAGGAGGAACACCGAUGGCGAAGGCAGGUCUCUGGGCCACUACUGACGCUGAGAAGCGAAAGCAUGGGGAGCGAACAGG